UACGUAGGGGGCGAGCGUUAUCCGGAUUCACUGGGUGUAAAGGGAGCGUAGACGGCCAUGCAAGCCAGGGGUGAAAGCCCGGGGCCCAACCCCGGGACUGCCCUUGGAACUGUGCGGCUAGAGUGCGGGAGGGGCAGGCGGAAUUCCUGGUGUAGCGGUGAAAUGCGUAGAUAUCAGGAGGAACACCGGCGGCGAAGGCGGCCUGCUGGACCGCGACUGACGUUGAGGCUCGAAAGCGUGGGGAGCGAACAGG
rnacentral:rRNA from 1 species